UUGAAUUGUCCCAUUAUUUAGACAGUUUGGGAAUGCAUAGUUAUAUCACGUAAUGUGCGGCUACAGGAUUAGGUUUCGAUUGUGGAGAUUUCGGUGUUUAUCUCUGUACGUUCUUCGAGUGGUACAUAGGUAUUUAUACCUACGGUAUACCUCAAGAACUAUAUCGAGAUGCUGUCGAAAUUCAUCCACGUCGAAAUCUAAUCUCAUGUAGCCGUACAUUACGUGACAUGACUAUGCA
rnacentral:lncRNA from 1 species